CAGCAGCCACGGGAAUACGUAGGGUGCGAGCGUUAAUCGGAAUUACUGGGCGUAAAGCGUGCGCAGGCGGUUCGUUAAGACAGAUGUGAAAUCCCCGGGCUUAACCUGGGAACUGCAUUUGUGACUGACGGGCUAGAGUAUGGCAGAGGGGGGUAGAAUUCCACGUGUAGCAGUGAAAUGCGUAGAGAUGUGGAGGAAUACCGAUGGCGAAGGCAGCCCCCUGGGCCAAUACUGACGCUCAUGCACGAAAGCGUGGGGAGCAAACAGGAUUAGAUACCCGCGUAGUCCCUGUCUCUUAUAC
rnacentral:rRNA from 1 species